rnacentral:rRNA from 1 species
GGGGAAGUAAAAGUCGUAACAAGGUCUCCGUUGGUGAACCAGCGGAGGGAUCAUUACUGAGUUUACGCUCUAUAACCCUUUGUGAACAUACCUAUAACUGUUGCUUCGGCGGGUAGGGUCUCCGCGACCCUCCCGGCCUCCCGCCUCCGGGCGGGUCGGCGCCCGCCGGAGGAUAACCAAACUCUGAUUUAACGACGUUUCUUCUGAGUGGUACAAGCAAAUAAUCAAAACUUUUAACAACGGAUCUCUUGGUUCUGGCAUCGAUGAAGAACGCAGCGAAAUGCGAUAAGUAAUGUGAAUUGCAGAAUUCAGUGAAUCAUCGAAUCUUUGAACGCACAUUGCGCCCGCCAGCAUUCUGGCGGGCAUGCCUGUUCGAGCGUCAUUUCAACCCUCAAGCCCUGCUUGGUGUUGGGGCCCUACAGCUGAUGUAGGCCCUCAAAGGUAGUGGCGGACCCUCCCGGAGCCUCCUUUGCGUAGUAACUUUACGUCUCGCACUGGGAUCCGGAGGGACUCUUGCCGUAAAACCCCCCAAUUUUCCAAAGGUUGACCUCGGAUCAGGUAGGAAUACCCGCUGAACUUAAGCAUAUCAAUAAGCGGAGGA